UACGUAGGGGGCAAGCGUUGUCCGGAUUUAUUGGGCGUAAAGAGCGUGUAGGCGGCCAGGUAGGUCAGCUGUGAAAACUCGAGGCUCAACCUCGAGACGUCGGUUGAAACCACUUGGCUAGAGUCCGGAAGAGGAGACUGGAAUUCCUGGUGUAGCGGUGGAAUGCGCAGAUAUCAGGAGGAACACCGGUGGCGAAGGCGGGUCUCUGGGCAGUAACUGACGCUGAGGAGCGAAAGCGUGGGGAGCGAACAGG
rnacentral:rRNA from 1 species